rnacentral:rRNA from 1 species
UACGUAGGGGGCAAGCGUUGUCCGGAAUCAUUGGGCGUAAAGAGCGUGUAGGCGGCUCGAUAAGUCUGCUGUGAAAGUCCAGGGCUCAACCCUGGAAGGCCGGUGGAAACUGUCGGGCUAGAGUCCGGAAGAGGCGAGUGGAAUUCCCGGUGUAGCGGUGAAAUGCGCAGAUAUCGGGAGGAACACCAAUGGCGAAGGCAGCUCGCUGGGACGUUACUGACGCUGAGACGCGAAAGCGUGGGGAGCAAACAGGG